rnacentral:rRNA from 1 species
UACGUAGGGUGCAAGCGUUGUCCGGAAUUAUUGGGCGUAAAGAGCUCGUAGGCGGUUUGUCGCGUCUGCUGUGAAAUCUGGAGGCUCAACCUCCAGCCUGCAGUGGGUACGGGCAGACUAGAGUGCGGUAGGGGAGAUUGGAACUCCUGGUGUAGCGGUGGAAUGCGCAGAUAUCAGGAGGAACACCGGUGGCGAAGGCGGGUCUCUGGGCCGAUACUGACGCUGAGGAGCGAAAGCGUGGGGAGCGAACAGG